rnacentral:lncRNA from 1 species
GGCAUUUCUCCCAGAAGUGUUACAAAUAAACACCUGAACACUUUCUCCUUCAGAACCAGAAGGUUUAAAUAGAAUUCUAUUUAGGUUUUUGAAUUGUGACAUAUGUUAAUCCCAAUGAGAGUCUCUGCGUGAAAGGAAUGUUAGCAGAAUUUUAACAUGGUAUUAUGAGGAUAAUUUGCCACUUUGAGUAAAAAUGCUAUACAUUUUCUGACCUUUGGGAGUUUAAACCUAUAGGAAAGAAGUCAACAAACUAUAGUUUGAUGAUCUGAGACCAACCAUUAUGCAUUAAGAGGAGUGGGAGAGAUUAACAUACACAGUGGAUGUGUAACAAUGACGUAUGUGACAAUUCAAAUAAAUAAACCUACUAAGACCAAAGAGAUGGAGUUUCAGAAAGAAAUGACUGAACUGCAGUACAGAUUAAGGCCCUUCUCACUGUCCCUCAGAUUAUACCAUGUUUGGCCGACUUUUCCAAAGGUCUACUCCAGAGAUGGGCCUAAAUAAAUAACAGGUGCAGAAUUCUCACUCUGGUGAAGACUGACAGGAUCAUCUACUAAAUACAAAGGAGUUAAAAUUCUCAGAAAGAAAAAUGGAAUUUUUUUGGAAUUCAGCUAGAGACAUGGAUUUGGAAAGAGAAAGAAAAAAUUAGUCUUUGUUUGUUUGUAAUGGCCAGUUGAUAAGAGAAAAGUGAUCCUAGAAAUUAUAGUCCCUGCUACUCAGUCCUGGAGCCACUGAGGGAAAAAUACAACCGAAACUUUCAAUACCUAAUGAAUUUUCUCCAACUUAC